UAGGGAAUCUUCCGCAAUGGGCGAAAGCCUGACGGAGCAACGCCGCGUGAGUGAAGAAGGUCUUCGGAUCGUAAAACUCUGUUAUUAGGGAAGAACAAAUGUGUAAGUAACUAUGCACGUCUUGACGGUACCUAAUCAGAAAGCCACGGCUAACUACGUGCCAGCAGCCGCGGUAAUACGUAGGUGGCAAGCGUUAUCCGGAAUUAUUGGGCGUAAAGCGCGCGUAGGCGGUUUUUAAGUCUGAUGUGAAAGCCCACGGCUCAACCGUGGAGGGUCAUUGGAAACUGGAAAACUUGAGUGCAGAAGAGGAAAGUGGAAUUCCAUGUGUAGCGGUGAAAUGCGCAGAGAUAUGGAGGAACACCAGUGGCGAAGGCGACUUUCUGGUCUGUAACUGACGCUGAUGUGCGAAAGCGUGGGGAUCAAACAGG
rnacentral:rRNA from 1 species